rnacentral:rRNA from 1 species
AUUGAACGCUGGCGGCAGGCCUAACACAUGCAAGUCGAGCGGAGCGGCGGACGGGUGAGUGAUGCCUAGGAAUCUGCCUGGUAGUGGGGGAUAACGUCCGGAAACGGGCGCUAAUACCGCAUACUAUCAGCAUAGCCUAGGUCGGAUUAGCUAGUUGUAGGGGUAAAGGCCUACCAAGGCGACGAUCCGUAACUGGUCUGAGAGGAUGAUCAGUCACACUGGAACGGAGACACGGUCCAGACUCCUACGGGAGGCAGCAGUGGGGAAUAUUGGACAAUGGGCGAAAGCCUGAUCCAGCCAUGCCGCGUGUGUGAAGAAGGUCUUCGGAUUGUAAAGCACUUUAAGUUGGGAGGCGUUACCAACAGAAGAAGCACCGGCUAACUUCGUGCCAGCAGCCGCGGUAAUUC